rnacentral:rRNA from 1 species
UACGGAGGGUGCAAGCGUUAUCCGGAUUCACUGGGUUUAAAGGGAGCGCAGGCGGGCUGGUAAGUCAGUGGUGGAAGCCUUGAGCUUAACUCGAGAACUGCCAUUGAUACUAUCAGUCUUGAAUAUUGUUGAGGUUUGCGGAAUGGGUCAUGUAGCGGUGAAAUGCAUAGAUAUGACCCGGAACACCUAUUGCGAAGGCAGCAGGCUAAACAAAGAUUGACGCUGAGGCUCGAAAGCGUGGGGAUCAAACAGG